rnacentral:misc_RNA from 1 species
GAUGAAGAACGUAGUGAACUGCGAUAAGUAAUGUGAAUUGCAGAAUUCAGUGAAUCAUCGAGUCUUUGAACGCACAUUGCGCCCCCUGGCAUUCCGGGGGGCAUGCCUGUCCGAGCGUCAUUGCUGCCCUUCAAGCCCGGCUUGUGUGUUGGGUCGUCGUCCCCCCCGGGGGACGGGCCCGAAAGGCAGCGGCGGCACCGCGUCCGGUCCUCGAGCGUAUGGGGCUUCGUCACCCGCUCUUGUAGGCCCGGCCGGCGCUUGCCGACACAUCAAUCUUUUUUCCAGGUUGACCUCGGAUCAGGUAGGGAUACCCGCUGAACUUAAGCAUAUCAAUAAGCGGAGGA